GAUGAACGCUGGCGGCGUGCCUAAUACAUGCAAGUCGAACGAAACUUCUUUAUCACCGAGUGCUUGCACUCACCGAUAAAGAGUUGAGUGGCGAACGGGUGAGUAACACGUGGGCAACCUGCCCAAAAGAGGGGGAUAACACUUGGAAACAGGUGCUAAUACCGCAUAACCAUAGUUACCGCAUGGUAACUAUGUAAAAGGUGGCUAUACUACCGCUUUUGGAUGGGCCCGCGGCGCAUUAGCUAGUUGGUAGGGUAAAGGCUUACCAAGGCAAUGAUGCGUAGCCGAAUUGAGAGGUUGAUCGGCCACAUUGGGACUGAGCCACGGCCCAAACUCCUACGGGAGGCAGCAGUAGGGAAUCUUCCACAAUGGGCGAAAGCCUGAUGGAGCAACGCCGCGUGGGUGAAGAAGGUCUUCGGAUCGUAAAACCCUGUUGUUAGAGAAGAAAGUGCGUGAGAGUAACUGUUCACGUUUCGACGGUAUCUAACCAGAAAGCCACGGCUAACUACGUG
rnacentral:rRNA from 1 species